GAUGAACGCUAGCUACAGGCUUAACACAUGCAAGUCGAGGGGAAGCGAUGAGAGAGCUUGCUCUCUUAGUCGUCGACCGGCGCACGGGUGAGUAACGCGUAUCCAACCUGCCUCUGACCAAGGGAUAACCCGUCGAAAGUCGGACUAAUACCUUAUGCAGUCGUCGGAAGUCAUCUGAUGACGACGAAAGAUUUCAUCGGUGAGAGAUGGGGAUGCGUCUGAUUAGCUUGUUGGCGGGGUAACGGCCCACCAAGGCGACGAUCAGUAGGGGUUCUGAGAGGAAGGUCCCCCACAUUGGAACUGAGACACGGUCCAAACUCCUACGGGAGGCAGCAGUGAGGAAUAUUGGUCAAUGGGCGUAAGCCUGAACCAGCCAAGUAGCGUGCAGGAUGACGGCCCUAUGGGUUGUAAACUGCUUUUAUGCGGGGAUAAAGUGAGGGACGUGUCCUUCAUUGCAGGUACCGCAUGAAUAAGGACCGGCUAAUUCCGUG
rnacentral:rRNA from 1 species